UUUCCUUCCGUAGCACUUACUGAAGCUUUAGCAGCCUGAAAGGGCGAAUGCUAGCGACUAUAAAUAAAUAUGGCGUUCUUAAAUGCUAGUCUCUAUUAUCAGAGGCGACAUUGCCAAAUUGUCGGGGACACCCUAAAGAUCUUGAUACCAAGCUGGCAGUCGAAAGACGCCAGUGGCCGAGCUAACAGCCCUGGGUAUGGUAAUAAUUCAAGAUAUGCAACAAUGGGUAAUCCGCAGCCAAGUCCUAAACUACGCAAGUAGCAUGGAUGCAGUUCACAGGCCAAAUGGUGAUGGGUAGAUUAGUAUAUCUGCUUAAGAUAUGGUCGGUCCCGCUGUGAGAGCAGAUGGGGAAGCUACAUUAAGCAUAUUGAGUAUGCAUAAACGUAACUGAAAACGUUCCGUAGGUGAACCUGCGGAAGGAUCAUUA
rnacentral:rRNA from 1 species